rnacentral:rRNA from 1 species
CUCCUACGGGAGGCAGCAGUGGGGAAUAUUGCGCAAUGGGGGGAACCCUGACGCAGCAACGCCGCGUGAAGGAAGAAGGUUUUCGGAUCGUAAACUUCUUUGAUUGGGGACGAAAAAAAUGACGGUACCCAAAGAACAAGCCACGGCUAACUACGUGCCAGCAGCCGCGGUAAUACGUAGGUGGCGAGCGUUGUCCGGAAUUACUGGGUGUAAAGGGCGUGUAGGCGGGGGAGCAAGUCAGAUGUGAAAUUCCAUGGCUUAACUGUGGGACUGCAUCUGAAACUGUUUUUCUUGAGUACUGGAGAGGAAAGUGGAAUUCCUAGUGUAGCGGUGAAAUGCGUAGAUAUUAGGAGGAACACCGGUGGCGAAGGCGACUUUCUGGACAGUAACUGACGCUGAGGCGCGAAAGCGUGGGGAGCAAACAGGAUUAGAUACCCUGGUAGUCCACGCCGUAAACGAUGGAUACUAGGUGUAGGGGGUAUCGACCCCCCCUGUGCCGCAGUUAACACAAUAAGUAUCCCACCUGGGGAGUACGGCCGCAAGGUUGAAACUCAAAGGAAUUGACGGGGGCCCGCACAAGCAGUGGAGUAUGUGGUUUAAUUCGAAGCAACGCGAAGAACCUUACCAGAACUUGACAUCCCUCGCUAUGUGUUGAAAGACACAGUACCCUCGGGACGGGGAGACAGGUGGUGCAUGGUUGUCGUCAGCUCGUGUCGUGAGAUGUUGGGUUAAGUCCCGCAACGAGCGCAACCCUUGUUGUUAGUUGCCAUCAGGUAAAGCUGGGCACUCUAACGAGACUGCCGGUGAUAAACCGGAGGAAGGUGGGGAUGACGUCAAAUCAUCAUGCCCCUUAUGUUCUGGGCUACACACGUACUACAAUGGCUGUUACAGAGGGGAGCGAAACCGCAAGGCAGAGCCAAUCCCAAAAAACAGUCUCAGUUCGGAUUGUGGGCUGAAACCCGCCCGCAUGAAGUCGGAAUUGCUAGUAAUGGCAGGUCAUCAUACUGCCGUGAAUACGUUCCCGGGCCUUGUACACACCGCCCGUCACACCAUGAGAGUUUGCAACACCCGAAGUCAGUAGCCUAACGCGCAUUUAUGUGCGGGGGCGCUGCCGAAGGUGGGGCAAAUGAUUGGGGUGAAGUCGUAACAAGGUA